GCAGAACGCGAAGAACCUUACCUAGGCUUGACAUGCAGGGAAAUCCUCUAGAGAUAGAGGGUCCGUAAGGGCCUUGCACAGGUGGUGCAUGGCUGUCGUCAGCUCGUGUCGUGAGAUGUUGGGUUAAGUCCCGCAACGAGCGCAACCCUCGUUCUAUGUUGCCAGCGAGUAAUGUCGGGGACUCAUAGGAGACUGCCGGGGUCAACUCGGAGGAAGGUGGGGAUGACGUCAAGUCAUCAUGCCCCUUAUGUCUAGGGCUGCACACAUGCUACAAUGGCCGGUACAAAGGGCUGCGAUACCGCAAGGUGGAGCGAAUCCCAGAAAGCCGGUCUCAGUUCGGAUUGGGGUCUGCAACUCGACCCCAUGAAGUCGGAGUCGCUAGUAAUCGCAGAUCAGCAACGCUGCGGUGAAUACGUUCCCGGGUCUUGUACACACCG
rnacentral:rRNA from 1 species